UUUUUUUUUACCAACAUAUUACAUUUGUGUUUUAUUAGGCUAUAUACCUAUAUAAAUAGCAAUAUUGAUUUUCAAAAAGUUUUAUUUACAUGUGCUUACAGUAUGCAAAAUAUGUGAAAUAAAGAUUCUCAUUCAUUCAAGGUGGAGGCAAAGAGAAAACUGUCCUCCCACCGCCAGAGCGUGGCUGCAACUGGUGGGGGCCCAUGUACAGCUGAUCUCACAUCAGUGGACAGCAAAAUCGCGGCUAUAAUUGGGGAGGUCAGCGUGUGUGUGGUAUUGUGUCGGAAAAGGAGGGAGACACUGACGUGACUGAAACCACAGAGGAGCAAGUCCUUCCGGAGUCUGAAGCUGUAAAUGAACAGGAGGUUCAGGGUGAGGGGUUCUCAGAUGCAGAUGCACAGCGUCCGGCUCAAAGCAGUGCCCCUUCUGCGUCUGGCACGUCCAAAAGUGGUCGGGUACUCACUGACGCAGUCCUGCAGUUACAGCGAGAGACAAUAAACGCUGUCAACGGGGUUGCAGAUGAGCUACGGCAGAUGAGAGAAGUGAUGCAAGAAAUUGCACAAUCAUUAAAAGAUGCAGUUAAAACAUGAA